rnacentral:lncRNA from 1 species
AAAUAAAGAUGUUGUGUCCACCAAAAACUAAAAAUAAAUAUUGAAAUUCUCUCUCUCUCUCUCUCUCUCUCUCUCUCUCUCUGUCUCUUAAAAAAAAAGAGUGAACUCGUUUGUAUUGAUUUAACAUGUGACAUGUGAGACCCUGUUAAUAACCCAGUCUCUUUAUAAGUCUGUGCUCUUCAGUGCCCUCAGGUGAUUACCAUUCCUAGUUGAAUUAGGGAAUGUUAAAGCACAAUAUUGGACACAAUACCUUUAAACAGUUUUCAGAAGUUUGUUUUGCAUUUUGGAUGUUCCCCACUCUCCAUUCACAUACUGAGGGUUUCCUAUCAUUUGGGCUAUGAUCUGGCCUCUAAUUAGUGUGGUCUUGGUGGACUUGUAAUAGUGGUCUACUUUAUGCUUUGAAUAUAACCCUUGCUGCUCUGCCACUGCAACUUAUUUUUAAAAUGGACAUGUUUCUUCCUCUCUCUUUGCUCCUCUGCUCCUCCCUAAUCUCAGGGGAAACAAGAUUACCUUUCUUCCCCACUUUAGGCAGAUUUAUCUGUCCUUGAGUACACACCUACCAUUGCAAGGAACUAAUUCAGACAUUGGGGAUGGUAUCAGAAGAUAUAAGAAGUGAGUAUCUCCCAAAUUAACAAGUGGAUUAUAAUUCAACAGAAACAUGAGAAAUGUAGCAUUUGAAUCACCUCUUCAAAAGCUCCCUCUUCCUGUUGAUGGGCAGGGUCACAGCCUCUGGGACCAGAGUUCCCUGUGUUUCUCCUUUGCUAGCAAAACAAUAAAC